CUUAACGGUAAAAUGGCCUUGGAUACUGGGCGUCUUGAGCAUGACAGAGGUUGGUGGAAUUCGUAGUGUAGCGGUGAAAUGCAUAGAUAUUACGAAGAACACCGGUGGCGAAAGCGGCCAACUGGGUCAUAGCUGACGCUAAGGCACGAGAGCGUGGGGAGCGAACAGGAUUAGAUACCCUGGUAGUCCACGCUGUAAACGAUGUAUGCUAGUUGUGGGGCCGCAAGGUUCCGUGACGCAGUUAACGCAGUAAGCAUACCACCUGGGGAGUACGUUCGCAAGAAUGAAACUCAAAGGAAUUGACGGGGGCCCGCACAAGCGGUGGAGCAUGUGGCUUAAUUCGAUGCAACGCGAAGAACCUUACCCGGGCUAAAUCCCGGUUGACCGCUCCCGAAACGGGGCUUCCCUUCGGGGCAA
rnacentral:rRNA from 1 species